rnacentral:rRNA from 1 species
AUGCAGAUCAUGGAGGGCCAGCCCAUGGUGAGCUAUUCGGCAGGAUCAGUGAACUCUGUUGUCUACAAGCUCACCAAGCUAAAGGAUUGCGCCCUUGUAAUUGAAGGGUUACAAAAGGAUCUUAUGAUUCUUUUGGAGAGUUUCAGCCAAGUGGCUGUGUUGCCAAGUAAGAUGAAUUGGCAAGUCCAAGUGUGGAUGAAAAUUGUGAGGGAGUUGGUCUUCGACAUCGAGGACUGGAUCGAUCAGGUGCCGGCGAUGCCAAACACAGGGGGCCAACUACUGGAUUUAGAAGAUGAAGUGAAAAGAUUCAAGGCCCGGAUCGAGCACGCGCGUGAGCUCUGUGAAAGAUACGGUCUUGUUAUUGAAGUGCCGUCUGAACUUCGUGAUCCUGCUUCUUUACCCGGCCACGCCCAAGUUACAGUUGAUUCACAUAUACUUUUCGAGGAGAAAACUGCCCUUGUCGGGAUGGAAGUUCCAAUGGAUGAGCUUGUCAAGCAUCUCACUGGUGAGCAUGAGAAGAGGCGGAAGGUGGUUUCCAUCCUCGGGGUGGAAGGCCUUGGUAAGACUACUCUUGUCAAGGAGGUUUAUUCAAAGAUUCAAGGGAACUUUGAGUGCCGAGCUUUUGUUACUCUUGGCCGGAGACCAUCCAUUACGGAGACUGUGCAGGAAAUACUUUGUCAAGUAAACCCCUCUGCAGAAAAGAAAAUAAACCUGAAGAUUGAUCCUAGGCGUGGAAGGGGCGCAGCCCAGGAUCUGAAAAAACUCCUCACUGAGCUUUGGAAGUACCUCGCCACAAAGAGGUAUUUCAUCUUAGUGGAUGGCUUAUGGAGCACACAGGCUUGGAAAAUUAUCAAUUCUGCUUUGCCCAACGAGAAUAAUGGAAGCAGGGUAUUGACAACAACAUGCAUCAGUGCUGUUGCUCAACAUUGUUCUGUACGUCCAAUGGAUAUCUAUCGGAUUGAGCCACUUAACGAGGAGAUGUCUGCAAGAUUAUACCUAAAAUUAACUCGGCAAAAAGAAUGGCCGGCUGAUCAUGCUGAAGUAACCAAAAACAUGUUUAAAAUGUGUGGUGGCAUGCCAUUGGCCCUAGUUCUUGCAGCUGGCUUAUUAGCAGCAAAAUGCAAAGAACUACCAGAGCCUGAGAUAUCUGUUGUUUCAUCAGUGGAGCAAUAUUCCAAAUCAGAUGGGAUUAUGAAGACACUGCAGAUGAGUUAUGAUGCUUUGUCUUUGCCUCUGAGGUCUUGCUUGUUGUACCUAAGUGUCUUUCGAGGAGGUUGCACCAUCAAGAAGGACCGUCUGAUACGAUUAUGGAUUGCUGAAAGACUUAUCCGUCGAAAAGAUGAUGAAAGAAGAGCUCAAGAAAUAAGACGUGAUGGAGGAGAAGAAACGAGAGUUGAAGGAGGUGAAAUCAUAGGAUAUGAAGAAAAUGGAGGUAAAGAAACAGGAGACGAAAAAAGCUUGUGGGAGACAGGGCAGCUCUACUUCAAAGAGCUCAUCAUCAGGAGACUGAUUCAGCCUGUGUUCAACUACAAUGAUGACCAGCCAGAGGGUUGCACCGUUCACGGUGUAAUUCUUGAUUUCAUCAAUUCUUUGUCGAGCAAAGGUAACUUUGUUACAGUUGGUGGUGCUCAUUUGAGCACAGACACGGUUCGGCGAUUCUCGCUGGACUGCUUUAACAACAAUGACGAAGACAGAGAUGCCACCUUGGCAUCAUUUGCUAUACACUUAUCUAGAGUGCGAUCGGGGGAGCCCUCAUCUCUCAUCGAGUAUGUAUGCACUAUGGGAAUACAACCAUUUAUUGCACCUUUGUUGUGCAAACCAGCUACCUUAACCGUUUUUACAACGUGA